CAGCUCACUCUUAUCAUCAUCGUUUCAACACAGUCUGCAGCCAGGUUUGUCAAGGAGGAUUUGCCCUUUCCAUCCACACGUGACUGGAAAUGAUUUCCAGGAGGACAUGCUCCAUGAUCUUUCCAGGUACUGAGGGAUGGUGCCUCAACCACUUCCCUGGGUGGGAAUGAUGGCAGAAGCAAAGCUGCACAUCCAGAUACCACACGAGGAGAGCAAAGCAUUUCUGCAGUGCUGGAGAAGCUGCACAAGGAAAUAUGCAGAAUAGAGGCUGGCCUUGGUUUCCUUGCUGCCCCUGGUUCACUGCAGACCAUCAAAGACCAGCACUUCCCAAAGCGCCAUCAUCACAAGAAAACAUGGUUGCCU